GCUCAUGUCAGCUAAAUCAUCAAAAUAACGUUGAGGGCGUUUAGCUCUAUUGUUUUACACAACUGAAGAAUUCAACCUUUAACACAAGAUCACGAUUUAAUCAUGCAAGUCCCAAGAGAGAAUCGACAAAGUGGAUAGCUGAGCCCAGAGGUGCGCUGUGUGGAUAUGGAAUUCUACAGAGGAACUCUGUAUGACAACAUUCAGACCCAUAAGAGGCUUGGUCAUCCUUUGUCUGAGAAGCAGGUUAGGGAUGUUCUCACACAACUCUGUGAGAUUCUGGCUCCAAGGGAAACAUGUGGUGUUUUCCU